rnacentral:misc_RNA from 1 species
AAGUCGUAACAAGGUCUCCGUAGGUGAACCUGCGGAGGGAUCAUUAGAAUUUCACUUUCUCUUUCUCUCCCGAGAAGAAGAGCUAAGGCGUGGUUCGUACCAUGUUCUCUAUUUUAACUUUCUAUUAAACGUACAUUCGCUCAACCUCUCUUCCGAGACUCGAACAAUGACACUUUUUAACAAACAACUCAAAAAACAAAAACACGACUCGCAACAACGGAUAUCUUGGUUCUC